AACAGCCGACAGCGCUGCAUGCCACCCAUGCGCUGCUGACUGCAACCUCCAUAAAGUUCAGCCGGCCGGCAAAUGAUGUUUUGUAUUAAUUGUAGCAGCUAGUUAGCAAAAAGAUACCAUA